rnacentral:ncRNA from 2 species
UACGUGCUCCGGGGUCGGUGUAAUUCCGAACCGGCGGUUAUAGUCCGCGACCCGUGCGCAGCCUCUUGGCAACAAUGAGGCGGCGCAUGGUUGAUCUGGUGAAAUUCCGGAACCGACAGUUAAAGUCUGGAUGGGAGAAGCACGAA